rnacentral:rRNA from 1 species
AUUGAACGCUGGCGGCAUGCCUAACACAUGCAAGUCGAACGGUAACAGGACGCUGUGAUCCCUUCGGGGUGAACUUGUCGCUGACGAGUGGCGGACGGGUGAGUAAUGCUUAGGAAUCUGCCCAGUAGUGGGGGACAACACGGGGAAACUCGUGCUAAUACCGCAUACGCCCUACGGGGGAAAGCCGGGGGAUCUUCGGACCUCGCGCUAUUGGAUGAGCCUAAGUCGGACUAGCUUGUUGGUGGGGUAAAGGCCUACCAAGGCGACGAUCCGUAGCUGGUCUGAGAGGACGAUCAGCCACACUGGGACUGAGACACGGCCCAGACUCCUACGGGAGGCAGCAGUGGGGAAUAUUGGACAAUGGGGGAAACCCUGAUCCAGCAAUGCCGCGUGUGUGAAGAAGGCCUGCGGGUUGUAAAGCACUUUCAGUAGAGAAGAAAAGCUUAGGGAUAAUACCCCUGAGUCUUGACGUAACCUACAGAAGAAGCACCGGCUAACUCCGUG